UGGAAUUCAAGCCACCGUUUGCGAGAAACGUAGAUCUCGUCCGUGAAAACCGAACACAUUUUUUUACGGAUGGCUCACACGAGUUUGGCGUGCGAGGUGCUGCACUGUCAGCUUGCUCUUACGAAUGUGCACAUUGAACGAGAUCGAAUUCAAGCCACCGUUUGCGAGAAACGUCGAGCUCGUCCGUGAAAACCGAUGACACGUUUUUUUGCGGACGGCUCUCACGCAUUUGACGUACGGGAUGUUGCACUUUCCGUUCGAUCUAACGAAUGUGCACAAUUGAAUGAGAUGGAAUACAGGCCACCGUUUGCGAGAAACGUCGAUCUCGUCCGUGAAAACCGAUGACACGUUUUUUUGGGGACGGCUCGCACGAGUUUGACGAACUGGGUGCUGCAUUGUCAGCUUGCUCUUCCGAAUGUGCACAUUGAACGAGGUCGAAUUCGGUCCAUCCGUUUACGAGAAACGUCGAUCUCGGCCGUGAAAACCGAUGACAAGUAUUUUUGCGGACGGCUCGCACGAGUUCGACGUACGGGGUGCUGCACUGUCAGCUUGCUCUUCCGAAUGUGCACAUUGAACGAGGUCGAAUUCGGUCCAUCAGUUCGCGAGAAACGUCGAUCUCGGCCGUGAAAACCGAUGACAAGUUUUUUUGCAGACGGCUCGCACGAGUUUAACGAACGAGGUGCUGUGUUGUCAGC